UAACUGAAGAGUUUGAUCAUGGCUCAGAUUGAACGCUGGCGGCAGGCUUAACACAUGCAAGUCGAGCGGGGAGAUGUAGCUUGCUACAUCACCUAGCGGCGGACGGGUGAGUAAUG
rnacentral:ncRNA from 1 species